AUUGAACGCUGGCGGCAGGCCUAACACAUGCAAGUCGAGCGGCUCGGCGGACGGGGGAGGAAUGCCUAGGAAUCUGCAUGGUAGUGGGGGAUAGCGUUCGGAAACGGACGCUAAUACUGCAACCUCUCAGCUUAGGCUAGGUCGGAUUAGCUAGUUGGUGGGGUAAGGGCCUACCAAGGCGACGAUCCGUAACUGGUCUGAGAGGAUGAUCAGUCACACUGGAACUGAGACACGGUCCAGACUCCUACGGGAGGCAGCAGUGGGGAAUAUUGGACAAUGGGCGAAAGCCUGAUGCAGCCAUGCCGCGUGUGUGAAGAAGGUCUUCGGAUUGUAAAGCACUUUAAGUUGGGAGGCGUUACCAGCAGAAUAAGCACCGGCUAACUUCGUGCCAGCAGCCGCGGUAAUAC
rnacentral:rRNA from 1 species